rnacentral:pre_miRNA from 1 species
ACUUGGUCCGCCACGUCAUCUGUGUACCGCAAAAGUGCAUCCACCCACGGAUUCGUCUUUGAUGUGCGGUGGAGAUUGGGACGAGAUGGGCGAUGGAGGGCUUAUGCCCUCGCGGUUCACGGAUGACGUGGCGGACCAGGU